AGCGAACGCUGGCGGCGGGCUUAACACAUGCAAGUCGAGCGCCCCGCAAGGGGAGCGGCAGACGGGAGAGUAACACGUGGGAACAUACCUUUUGGUUCGGAACAACUGAGGGAAACUUCAGCUAAUACCGGAUAAGCCCUUACGGGGAAAGAUUUAUCGCCGAAAGAUUGGCCCGCGUCUGAUUAGCUAGUUGGUGAGGUAACGGCUCACCAAGGCGACGAUCAGUAGCUGGUCUGAGAGGAUGAUCAGCCUCACUGGGACUGAGACACGGCCCAGACUCCUACGGGAGGCAGCAGUGGGGAAUACUGGACAAUGGGCGCAAGCCUGAUCCAGCCAUGCCGCGUGAGUGAUGAAGGCCUUAGGGUUGUAAAGCUCUUUUAACGGGGAAGAUAAUGACGGUACCCGUAGAAUAAGCCCCGGCUAACUUCGUGCCAGCAGCCGCCGUAACAC
rnacentral:rRNA from 1 species